GGGGUGGCGUAGGCGGUUUAUUUAAGUCAGUGGUGAAAGACGGUCGCUCAACGAUUGCAGUGCCAUUGAUACUGGUAGACUUGAGUGAGAUUGAGGUAGCUGGAAUGGAUAGUGUAGCGGUGAAAUGCAUAGAUAUUAUCCAGAACACCAAUUGCGUAGGCAAGUUACUAAGUCUCAACUGACGCUGAGGCACGAAAGUGUGGGUAUCAAACAGGAUUAGAUACCCGUGU
rnacentral:rRNA from 1 species